rnacentral:rRNA from 1 species
UACGAAGGGGGCGAGCGUUGUUCGGAAUUACUGGGCGUAAAGGGCGCGUAGGCGGCGACCCAAGUCAGAUGUGAAAGUCCUGGGCUUAACCUGGGGACUGCAUUUGAUACUGGGUUGCUAGAAUGCAGGAGAGGAUAGCGGAAUUCCCAGUGUAGAGGUGAAAUUCGUAGAUAUUGGGAAGAACACCGGUGGCGAAGGCGGCUAUCUGGACUGUGAUUGACGCUGAGGCGCGAAAGCGUGGGGAGCAAACAGG